rnacentral:hammerhead_ribozyme from 1 species
GCAUUGCUGAGGAGUCCCACGAUAGGACGAAACAGCUGUCCAGUGU